rnacentral:rRNA from 1 species
UACGUAGGGUGCGAGCGUUAAUCGGAAUUACUGGGCGUAAAGUGUGCGCAGGCGGCCGAGCAAGUCGAGUGUGAAAGCCCCGGGCUUAACUUGGGAAUUGCGCUCGAAACUACUUGGCUGGAGUGUGGCAGAGGAAGGUGGAAUUCCAGGUGUAGCGGUGAAAUGCGUAGAGAUCUGGAGGAACACCGAUGGCGAAGGCAGCCCCCUGGGCUGACACUGACGCUCAGGCACGAAAGCGUGGGGAGCAAACAGG